CGAGAUCUCCGUCCAGCGCAAACCCCCACCGUCCAUUCGCUCUUCCCCCACCCACCUCCCUUUCUGCCCUCUAUCUCCCUCUUCCUCUCCCUCCUUCCCAUCCGGUCGAAGCCCGAGAAUCCCCAAUCCCCUCCUUCUCCUUCUCUUCAAGGCUCUGAUCCCCUCUGAUCCAAGAGCUUUCCCCUCUCCAAUGCCGCAACUCCUUCGUUCUUCGUGGAUCAGAGAUCCAUAGCUCCUCUCCGAGUGGUGGAUUCGUUCCCUUAGCUCCCAGGAGAAAAGUUGGAGUCGUAAUCUCGAAGAAUGUUGUCUGACAGUGGAUGCUAAGGAUGGAAGAUAAAUUAGUCCAACGCCAUAUUGACUCGGAAGACGGCAAAACAGAAGUUACCAUUGCUCCCAUGGAUAUCGACCCUUCUGUAGAUGAAGAUAAUAAAAUGAUGCAAAAUCCAGACAAAGGAGAAAUAAUUGCAUCUGGAGGUGAUACAGAUGCGGAACCAUAUGAGGGCAUGGAGUUUGAAUCUGAAGAAGCAGCGAGGACAUUCUAUGCUGCAUAUGCUGAGCGUGUGGGAUUUCGCAUCCGUAUCAGUAGGUACACUCGUUCAAGGCGUGAUAACUCUAUUAUUUCUCGGAGAAUUGUAUGUUCUAAAGAGGGCUUUCGUGAGUCUUGUGCUAAUGAAGGUCUCUCCGGUGAGCGAAGACAGCGACAACGAGCAGUCACAAGGGUUGGUUGUAAGGCAAUGAUAAUGGUUAAAAAAAUGGGCCCUGAGAAAUGGAUUGUUACCAAAUUUGUGAAGGAGCAUAACCAUGGGCCAGUGCCUCCAAGAAGAGUGGAGGUUAGGACAGUGCGCAGGAAUGAUGAUUUUCUCGUACAAUCAUACACCAGUGAUGGAGGUGCUGUUCAGGAACCAUUUGAGGGGAUGGAGUUUGAGUCUGAAGACGCUGCAAAGACAUUCUACAUAGCAUAUGCAAGACACAUGGGUUUUCGUGCACGUAUUAGCAAAUAUUGCCGUUCAAGACGUGAUAAUUCAAUUAUUUCUCGGCAGAUUGUUUGUUCCAAGGAAGGCUUUCGUGAAGUUCGUGUAAAGAAUGAGAUAACAGAUGAAGGAAAAAUCAAGCGCCCUAGAGUGAUAACAAGGAUAGGAUGUAAAGCAAUGAUUAUUGUGAAGAGGGCAAACUCUGGAAAAUGGGUUGUUACAAAGUUUGAGAAGGAGCAUAACCAUGAUCUAAAGAUGCCUAAUCUUGAAUCACAUAGCAAUUCUGGAGAAGUCAUUAAUUUGCAAGGAGCAAUUAUGAAGGCUAAUGGGAUGGUAAUGGAUGAAUCUUCUGCUAGAACACAAGGAACAAGUCAAGAAUCACUGUGUGUCCUAUACAACCAGUUAUGCUAUGAAGCCAUCAGGUAUGCACAAGAAGGGGCUGCAACUGAAGACAGUUACAAUGUGGCGAUGUCUGCUCUGAAAGAGGCUGCCGUGAAGGUUGCUGCAGCCAAAAAAGCUGCUGUUAAUGUUGGACAACAAGGCCUACAUAUUGGUGGAGCUAAACAAGCAUUUCUUGUUGUCCAUCCAGCACAAACAAAAGCUUUGAAAGACUUGCAAUGCUUGAAUGAAGUCAAGCAGUCCGAUCACCCUGUUCAGGUCCCGUUGAUCUUAAACAUAGCAAACAGUCAGUUAUUGCAUAAUCCAUCGGAUGUUGUGCAUGCAGCCCAUGCUACUCAAGUUUUGAACAUCACAAAUGCUGUCAGUGUACUAAAACAAUCAUUACCUUCCACACCACCUAUGGAAGGGUUGAUUGGAAAUGGGUUACAAGGUUCUGAUUUGCCAGAAGAAAUGAAGAUGUCAGUGCAGACAGUGGAUAAAGAUGUGGAGCUUGAUUCCACCAUCCAGAAAUCUCAGAACUUGGAUUCUACUAAUGCAGCCAAAGCUGACUUCACUCCAAGAAGUGGCAACAACUUAACUAGUCCAGGUUCAUCUGAGGCACAGCCGGUGGCUAUUCCUGCAGUGCCAGUGACACUCUACGUGCCGGUGAUGGGAAGCUUGCCAACAUCUUGUUCAGUUGGAACACCAGGAACUCCAGGCGGCUCAUAUGCACUUGUGGCGGCUCCCAUUGAGGCAUUGCCAGUUUCUGCUCGCCCUGCAGGACCGAGCUCUCAAUUACAGGACGCAUCCUUGCAGCCAGCAGCAGCAUCUCAGAGUGGUGCACUGGCUCUGGCUCCAUCCACGGGAAAUCUAUCAGAACACUGCAAGCCAUACACAUGCCCAAAUCCUCAGGUGCAUGCAACUGCCAUUGCUUGUGGUGCACGUGUAGUGCCUCCCAAGGCCGCUGCUUCACUGAUCAAGGCUAUCGAGGCCAGGAUCGGAUCUGGAGGAGCUUCUGUUGCCAAGUCAGCACUUACAGGUGGCUGCAAAUUACUUGCCGCCCAGAGUCCUUGCCCUUGUACCAUUGAGGAUGGUAAGAGAGGGCAUGCAUCUGGGAAUAUCAUACCUGAAAGUCAGGUAGAACAUUUGGAGGAGACGAAAAUGCAAAAUAUUGAGGUGGACCCGAAGGAGUUGAUGGUUGAUCCUGACCAUUCGGUAGUUGAAAAUGAUGGGCAGGAUGGGUCUCUUUUCGAGAGGCAGAUGGAAUUGCUGGAUACAGUCGGGGCUGCUGCUGAUUUAUCAAUGUUUGGGAAAAGAGCUUGGACAGAAAUCAAAUGUGAUUGAAAUGCAGAUUGUCUCCACUAACCUUGAUCUGUAACAUACAACCCCAAUGCACGUAUCGUGUGAAUCAUUUACUGACAUGGGCAAGUUUUGGUGUAAAAAGUACAUUUAGUCAAAAUAGUAGUUAUGUUGCUUUAGAAAUAAUCACCCAAAAUUUGGUGCUCGAGGUGCCCAAAUGUGACUGCUGAUUUUCACCAUUGCGGAGAUUGCCAGGCCUUUUGCUGUUAUGUUCUGGACCUACAAAACUUCUGCCGACUCCAGUUAACCGUUCACCAACAGCUGCAGGUGGGAGUAGGUACCUUGCUUGAAUGGUUUAUAUAAUGAUGAGCAGGUAAGUUGCUUACAGGUUUGAAACAUCAGACUUGGAGACUCUAUGCUAGCGCCAGCAAGUUUGGAGUGUAAAGCCUGCAAUGGAAACAUGAUUUUAGGAUCAACCAUCGCCAAUGGGGGGUUCUCACAAGUUGAAGUCGCUGCUUCGCAUGCUUCUUGGUCCAUCCCCUCUGAUCAUUUUCCGCAAGAAUGUGGUAUAAUGACUCAUCAUUUGAACAACUAGAAUAUCAGGAUUCUUGAAAGAAACUUGCUUCCGCCAACAUCAUCAUCAGUUGUCUCCAUGCACAAUCAUUCAUAAAGUAUAUCGGCUAGGCGCGGGCGGAGCAGGACCUCCAAUGGAGUAGUAUUGGGGUAAGGCAACCCAAGGUCAUACGCCAUCUCCAAAGGCCCACCACCUGGAGUCUCCGGCUCAAAGCCCUGGAUCAGCCGAGCAAGGGUCAGGUGCAUCACUUGGAGAGCGAAGGAGAUCCCCGGGCAUGACCUCCGGCCAGACCCGAAGGGGUUGAGCUCGAAAUGCUGGCCCCGGACGUCGACGCCGGCAUGAGGCGCAGACAGGAACCUCUCAGGUCGAAACUCAUCAGGUUCGGGCCACACGCCGAGGUCUCGCUGCAGCUUCCACACAUUGACGAGCAAGCGGGUGCCGGCGGGGACGUGGUAGCCACUUAUCCGGCAGUCCGCCAUGGCUUCAUGGGGCACGAGCAACGGGGCAGCUGGGUGCAGGCGAAAUACUUCUUUCACGAUGGCUUGGAGGUAAACCAGGUUCUUGACAUCGGAUUCAUCGAGGGGCCGAUCCUUGCCGACGACCGCAUCUAUCUCAUCCUGGGCCUUCUUGAGCACCUGUGGAUUGUUCCCCAGGAGUGCAAGGGUCCAGGAGAGGGAGGUGGUUGUUGUGUCCGUGCCACCCAUUAUGAGAGCCUUCCAAAGGAAAAAGACUAA